AUUUCAAAUUUUCUCAACUAGUGGAGAUCUUUAAAAAAAGGGUUGCACGAAUGUCGUUGACUGAAAUCAAGGAGGACAAAACUUGGGAAAACAGAUGGGAUAAAAAAAAUGGGUCCGGUUAUGUUACAGCAGCUGUAAGUAACAGCAAUGACAUGACUAAUUGACUCAUGUAACAGCGGCACGUGGCGGUUAAAUAGGCAUAUAAAAUUAUUGAAAUAAACCGAUUGUAAUCCAGUUGCACAAGCUGUCAACGGUAAGUCAUUGUACCGUACCCAACAGCAAUUUCAAAUUUUUUUUUUUUUUUUCCUUUCGUCCCUCGGUGCACGAUCCAAGUUAAAUGGGUUUCAAUAUUCUCCGAUUACUCCAUUCAUAAUUUAAGUUGUAGCCAUCAUUUCAAUUUCCCAGCAGCAAAGACAAAAAAAAAAAAAAAAAAAAUUAAAUUAAGCAAAUUUGAAAAUAUCCAUCUAAUAAGAUAUAAUUUCAUGGUUUUAUUUGUACAACUUCUGGUCCUAACACUUUAGUACAUG
rnacentral:lncRNA from 1 species